AUGUAUGUAUGUAUGUAUGUAUACAUAUAUAUAUUAAUGAUAGUAUCGACAGGAUCAAAAGGGCUCAAACCAAUGUUGAACAAGAGUUGUUCCUUCAGAAGUUCAGAGAGAAGGGGGGCUGGAUAGGCCUCGAGCUUAUUGGAGGCUUUGAGGUCAUCCCUUUCCAGGCUAGAAGCCCGACGGAUGGAAUCCCUCAGAGAGCCCCAGGGGGGUAAUCCCAGCUCUAAGGUCAGA
rnacentral:lncRNA from 1 species